GACGAACGCUGGCGGCGUGCUUAACACAUGCAAGUCGAACGGAAAGGCCCUGCUUUUGUGGGGUGCUCGAGUGGCGAACGGGUGAGUAACACGUGAGUAACCUGCCCUUGUCUUUGGGAUAACUUCAGGAAACUGGGGCUAAUACCGGAUAGGAGCUCCUGCUGCAUGGUGGGGGUUGGAAAGUUUCGGCGGUUGGGGAUGGACUCGCGGCUUAUCAGCUUGUUGGUGGGGUAGUGGCUUACCAAGGCUUUGACGGGUAGCCGGCCUGAGAGGGUGACCGGCGACAUUGGGACUGAGAUACGGCCCAGACUCCUACGGGAGGCAGCAGUGGAGAAUAUUGCACAAUGGGCGGAAGCCUGAUGCAGCAACGCCGCGUGCGGGAUGACGGCCUACGGGUUGUAAACCGCUUUCGCCUGUGACGAAGCGUGAGUGACGGUAAUGGGUAAAGAAGCACCGGCUAACUACGUG
rnacentral:rRNA from 1 species